CGCGCGCACCUGCAGACGCUGCACGUCUUAAGUUUCGAGUGAUUUGGGGAAGGAAAGAGGACCGAGAAGAAAAGAAAAGGGCUCGGGGGGGGGGGGGGGUGGGCGGGUGAGGGGCGGAGGAGAGGACGAAGGAAAAAAGCCGGGAGAGGGAGAAGAAAGAAAUCUUCCUUUUGCAAAAGGAGGCAUAAUGUGGCUUAGAGGUUGCCAAAGCAAAAGGUUUUGCUUUAUUUUGUUUUUGCAACCGAGGCGUUCAGGGUGGGGCUGGCGCGAGGGAAGGGUGGAUGGGGAGAAGGUCACUGUCUUAGCACAUGGCGAGAUUUAUUUACUCCUUUGGAUUAUUUCGGUUUCUCGCCGAAUGGCUUUGAUCCUGGAUUCCUAAAAAUACCUUUGAAAGAUUGAAAGACUCGCCCCGCCCCCCCAACCUCCACACCGUCUUACUGCCUAACUCCUCGGAACCCUCGGAGGUUGCGCAUAAACAAUUUUUUCUUCCAGAACGGCCCCCCUCUCCGCCCUGGGGGAGCCGGGAGGAUGUGCAGCCCCAGUCCUCCUGCUCGGCGGAGCCUCGCGCGCGCAGAGCCUAGCGCGAUUCGCGCCCUCAUUACUACUACAAAGCGCGGGCCAGACCAAUCCCCUUUCUAAUGCACCAUUUUCGACUGAGAACAUCAAGAGGCCAGAAACUUCCAAGUCAGCUUGCAGACGCAGACGCCUCCUGGGGUCCUGGCUUUAAGAACCAGAUGCCAACACUCCCGGACAGUUUAUGGCAUCCGGAUCCCUCAAGGGUGCUCAUCUGCAGUUGAGAGGAUUCUGUGUGAAGAAUACAGAGACAGACGUUCCAUUUCAAAGAAAAAAGAGCAACACGAAGGCCCUCUUUAAGGAGAGAGUAAACAUUCACUUUAGGUAAAAAAUAGUCUUUUACACGCCUGUGCACGGCACACCUCUUUUGCUGUUCACCUUGAGCCCAAGAGUUUGGAAAGGCUGCCCCCAUUUCAGAGAGGAAGAAACGCAGGCACACGUGAAUGACAGACUCCUCUGUGGUGGCCUAGACUCCAGCCAACACUUCCUAGGACAGCCUGCCAUUGUGCAAAGUCACCAUGUAACAAAUGCAGACAUCUCUGAGAUCACCAUGCAGUGAGGAAGUCUAAGCUGGUGGCAUGAAGAGGCCACAUGGAAAGGGCUAAAAAAGGGGCCAGCCUCAGUCAUCCCAGCUGAGCACCUGGCUGGGAAUAAAAGAGGACUCCGUGGAUGUCCAGCCCAGUAAGAUGACCUCAGCCCCAGCCACCAACUGACCAAGCACACAAGACAUCGUGAGGCUGCCUGCUGGAGCCUGGCCAGUGGGACUGUAGAGUAACUCAUUGUCGUGCAGGAACUCCUGGGAUGGUGUUGCCCAGUGACACAAUCCCAGUGUGGCCAUUUCUGAUCCCGAGAAAGCAGUCAGGAGUGGGUGGAUGCAGUUACAGUUCAUCAAGUCCUGCUAGUUCAAGUCAUGAGUCCUGAAUUCUCCAGGAGGAGCCACUAAAGAAAUGCAGAAGCAGGCAAUCCUUGCAAUAAGGCCAGCAAACUGCCAGUGUGAAGGAUGCCCAGGUAACCUGCCCAUGCCAGAACGGCCAGGAGAUGGUGGAACCAGAAUCUAAGCCCACGCCCAUCUGACCUCAAAGUCUGUGCUCCUGAGGUUCGCACCGAGUUGCCUCCUAAGACUUGCUGAAACUGGAUCACGUCCAUUUACCCAUCUCUGAGAGAAAUGCAAGCUUUAAAAAAGGAAAUAUUUACUAUGGAUAUUUUACAAUAGUUCCAAAACAUGAAAGUUUUAAAUAAGAUAUUCUUAACCAUCCUCACCACAUCUUCAGGUUCCCUUACAGCCACUGUGUUUUGACGAUUGCCCAUUAGAAAAAAAGACUAUGCUUUCUGUAGGUUUUAAAGGAAUGGUGGUGAAAUAAGGAGCAUUCCCUGAGCAGAUCUUGCCUGCGGGCACACCUCUGAGCAUUGGACCAGGCGAGAAGAGCCCAUGUGUUGGCUGCUUUGGGAUCCCAGCACUGCCAAUGGCAGGUGGGCUGUGGCCCAGGGAGAGAACCUAGCCUUUUGCAUUCUCUUGCCCCAUUUGAAAAUGGAGACGAUAGUGGCGCCCCGCUCAGUGUUAUUUUGAGGAUUUGAAUGUAUCUCAGAUGUAGUACCUGGAAAAAUAUAAGUGCUCAGUAAAUACGGUUGCCAGAUAAAAUGCAGGAAACCUAUUUAAAUUUAAGUUUUGGCUGGACAAUGAAUAGAAUAAUUUUUCUUAGUAUGAGUAUGUCCUUAUAUUUCAUCUGCUAAAUUUAGCAACCUCCUCAGUAAACGAUCACUACAAUUGCAGAAACGCCUUAUGACAGAUAUAGUAAAUCUGUAAAGAAAUAGGAACUUGCAUUUAUUUUUACUAAGCUCUGACUGGUUAAGAUAACUGGGCAAGAGAAGAUAUCUUCGACUAAACUUGCAGCACAUAGAGUAUAGAGAUUCAAAUUUGAAGUCCUAUAGGACUAGAAUGGCCAGAGGUGAACUGUAGCGAGCUUAUCUAAAGAGGACCAAUUUCAAAAGUUCCUCAGAGACUUAAAUGGGCCCACAGACCCCUCCUGUGUCUUUGCAUAAGCCAGCUCGUUAUAUCAGUUAUAAGUUGAUUUCCAGAGAAAUGUACCCUGGAGAUCCCUCUCCCACUUGAAAUAGGACUGGCCAAUCCAGAUGUCCCCCAGGUGAUGUUGGCUCAAAUGGAGCUCCAUAUAUUGGAGAAUCUAUUCAAGAAAACAAGCAAAAGUAUUUGUGACUGAGUUAGCUAAUGCCAGCUGGUAUCUUGAACAAACCCAGAUCUCUAACAUGCUAGUUUAUUUCGUAGUGUAAAAUGUGUGUUACUGAUGGGCAGACAGCUCUCAUUCAAGCAGUGACAGAUGUAAGCUCUUCCCAUUUUUGUGGCCCCAUUGUAUUCGGCGUGUGGCUUCCAAGUUGCCUGGGAUCAUCUCCACCCAGACUAAGGAAGAGGAAAGAGCUUGGACAACUGCACUUGGCUGGUUUUUAUGGAUCAGGCAAGGAAUUGGCUCCAACACAUUAGCUCACAUUCCAUUGGUUAGAACUGGGUUUCUCAACUAUUAGUACAGGGUGAGUGUAGGGUUUUGGCACCAUGGGCAUUUGAGCUGGCCAAAGGCUAAUCAGAGUUAGAACAAAGCCACAAAGCCUGUGAAUGGUGUUUAUUGUUGUGAGGAGCUGUCUUGUGCAUUGUGGAAUGUUCAGCAGGAUGCUCUCUGGCCUCAGAGACUCACUAGAUUCCCAUAGAACUCUCCUCUCUCCUCUAGUUGUGACAACCACAGUUGCCUCCUCUCCAGACAUUGCUAGAUGUCCCCGGGAGGCAAAAUUGUCCUGGUUGAGAACCACUGUGUUAGAACUCGGUCACAUGGCCAUACCUAACUGCAAGGGAGGGGGCUGGAAGAUCUAGACGAGUAGUAUGCCAGGAAGAAAAUAGAACUGAUUUAGAGGCUGCUGGCCAGUCACUUUCAGUGACCUUCAGCAUACUUAUUCCUCUGCAGCUGUCAGGACACUCAUGCCUGUUUCUGAGAUGUUUCCUGUGUGAGGGGACAUAGUGACUAUUGGAGGGGUGACAUGUUGGACUUGGGUAGGGUGAAGAGGAUUGGAAACCACCAUCAUGUUUGGCAGCAUUGAAUGUUUAUGACUAUUUGAAUAGUUGUGACAAGGGUACAGUGAAGGAGGAAGUAACCAUUUUUGAAUACCCUUUUACAAUUUGCAAAGCACUUUUAAAGGUAAGAGUGAGUUCCUAGACCAUAUUAGGGUGAGAAUGGACAUUGUUGGCUGCCAUAUCAUUGGGCAGGGGCUUUGAGAUUUUUGUCUUCAGAAGGCAGAUUAGAUUUGGAGUAGAAGGAGAAAUGUAAAGACCUGGUAUCUGAGUGUGUUUGCAGAGGGGAAUUGUCGUUUGGAAGCACAAGAAAGGGAAUGGCCCGUUGGCACAUAUGGUACAUUGUGUUUUCAUAUAAUUAUACCUGAAUGAAAGCAAGAGGAAACGUGUAGGAAGCUGUUUACAUAGUCCUUUUAAUAAUGUUUACAUGAGUUAAUGAACAUGCAAACGUAUCUGAUGAAAACAUGUCAGUAGUGAAACAGCCUUGUGAAGAAUCAGAUCUUACCUCAGGCUGGAAAAAAGGACUGGUUUUCCAAGCUCACAAAUUGCAGCCAGUGUGAAUAGUAGCACAAAUGACUGAGCUUUAAGACAUCCAUCCAUCCAUCUAUCCAUCCCCUCAUCCAUCCAUCCCCUCAUCCAUCCACCCAUCCAUCCAUCCCUUCAUCCAUCACUCCAUCCAGCCAUCCGUCCCUUCAUCAAUCCAUCCAUCCCUUCAUCCAUCCAUCCAUCCUUCCUUCCAUUCAUCCCUUCAUCCAUCCGUCCAUCCAUCCAUCCAUCCACUCAUUCAUCCCUUCAUCCAUCCAUCCAUCCAUCCUUCCUUCCUUCCAUUCAUCCCUUCAUCCAUCCGUCCAUCCAUCCAUCCACCCAUUCAUCCAUCCAUUCCUUCAUCAACUCAUCCCUUCAUCCAUCGUCUACCAUUCAUUCACCCCUUCAUCCAUCCAUUCAUUUAUCCAUCCGUCCAUUUACUUCCAUCCAUCCCUUUAUCCAUCCAUUCACCCAUUCAUCCCUUUAUCCAUAUGUCCAUUCCUCCAUCCAUCCAUCCAUCCAUUUACUCUUCAUCCCUUCAUCCAUUUUUCCAUCCAUUCAUCCAUUCAUCUUUUCAUCCAUCCAUCCAUUGAUCUAUCCAUCCAUCCAUUGCUCCAUCCAACCAUCCAUCCAUCCCUUCGUCCCUUCAUCCAUCCAUCCAUUCAUCCCAUCAUCCAUUGAUCACUUCAUCCAUCCAUCCUUCCAUCCUUCCAUCCAUUCUUCCAUUCAUCCAUCCAUGUGUUCAGCAAGUAUUUACUGAAUGCCUAUUAUGUGCCAAGCACUCUCCUCAGAACUUAGGAAAUACCAGGAAACAAAAUCAACAACAAUCCCUCACCACCUGGAUAUUACAUUUUGGUGGGAAGAGACAAAGAAAUAAAAUUGGUGAGUGAAUCACAUAGGUUAUUAGAAGGUGAUAAAGGUGUAGGUGAUAAAGGAGAAGUGCCAGGAGCAAGGAUUGGGUACAGUUGUGAAUAAGGUGGCCCCAAUAGGUUGCACUGAGAAGGUGACAUUUGCACAGAGACUUGAAGAAAGGAAGGAGAGAACAUGACUGUACCUGGGUAACAGCAUUUGUGGAAGAGGGAACAGCCAGUGUAAAAGUUCCAAGGCAUGAGUGCCUGGUACAUACAUGGAACAUCGAGGCCAGGGUGGCAGAAACGCGGUGAGUCCAGGAAGGGAAUAGGAACUAAGUGUAGGAAGGUGUACAGUGGGGUGGUGUGGGGGUGGAAUUGUGGCAGCCAGAUGGUGUUGGCCUAAGGCCUCUUGGCCCUUGUUAGGACUUGGUUUACCAUGGCGCAACACAUCCAUGAGAUUGGCAAAAAUUAAAAAGUCUGACAACAGAAAAUCUGGUAAUCUGGUGAGGAUGUGGAGCAGUGGGAAUUCUCCAAUACUGCCAGGGAGCAUGGGCAUCAAUCCCACCACACUGGAAUGCAAAGGGGCAUUCUGAGUAGAACUGAAGAUGUGCCCAUCCUUGACCCCACAGUUCCAGCCAUGGGCAUGCGCAUGAAUGUGCACACGUGUUGACUGCGGCAUUUGUUUGUCAUUAUGAAAACAUCUAAGUUUCCAUCUAUGGGAGAGGGGAUAAUGUGGGAGUGCCCAACAGUGGAGUUCUAGAGAGCAGUAAAAAUAAAUGGACUAGAGCUGCACACGUCAAAAUGGAUGAAGAUAAAAGACAUAAGGAUGGAAGAAGACCACCUGGCCACAGAAGUAUAUGUCCAAUAUGAUGCUGGUGUAUCCAGAGUGUUCAAACAAACAACACAACACUACUCAUUGUUUCCAACGUGAGUAUGAAAGUAUGGAGCAGUGCGGAGGGCCAGGAGUGCUGAAUCCACAUGGUUACUUCUCCAGGCGGGGGCCGAGGACCAGGGCUGGAGGUUUACUCCAGGAGCUUCAGUGGUGCAUGCUGAAUGUGCUGUUUCUUGGGCUGGGGGACAGAGAUGUGCAUGCUGUUAUACACUCUAUAUUGAAAUGAUUGUAUAACAAUAUACUAAUUUAUCAUGUAAUAAAUUUGACCAGAAAGAAACAACUGUUCUGUGGCUGCUUCCAUGACUGGAUUUCACGUUGUAGGUUUCUAAGCAGAGAGUCCAAGGAAAACCAAAGGAGCGGCGGAAGGAUAAGCCUCCCGGGUGUUCUGGGAGUGUCCCUUUGCUUGGG
rnacentral:lncRNA from 10 species